CAGUAGCCACGGUAAUACGUAGGUCCCGAGCGUUGUCCGGAUUUAUUGGGCGUAAAGCGAGCGCAGGCGGUUAGAUAAGUCUGAAGUUAAAGGCUGUGGCUUAACCAUAGUACGCUUUGGAAACUGUUUAACUUGAGUGCAAGAGGGGAGAGUGGAAUUCCAUGUGUAGCGGUGAAAUGCGUAGAUAUAUGGAGGAACAUCAGUGGCGAAAGCGGCUCCCUGGCUUAUAACUGACGCUGAGGCUCGAAAGCGUGGGGAGCAAACAGGAUUAGAUACCCCUGUAGUCCCUGUCUCUUAUACA
rnacentral:rRNA from 1 species